rnacentral:rRNA from 1 species
UACGAAGGGGACUAGCGUUAAUCGGAAUUACUGGGCGUAAAGCGUGCGCAGGCGGCUUUGCAAGACAGAUGUGAAAUCCCCGGGCUUAACCUGGGAACUGCAUUUGUGACUGCAUGGCUAGAGUGCGGCAGAGGGGGAUGGAAUUCCGCGUGUAGCAGUGAAAUGCGUAGAUAUGCGGAGGAACACCGAUGGCGAAGGCAAUCCCCUGGGCCUGCACUGACGCUCAUGCACGAAAGCGUGGGGAGCAAACAGG